AACGAACGCUGGCGGCAGGCCUAACACAUGCAAGUCGAACGCCGUAGCAAUACGGAGUGGCAGACGGGUGAGUAACGCGUGGGAACAUACCCUCCGGUUCGGAAUAACUCAGGGAAACUUGAGCUAAUACCGGAUACGUCCAAGGUUUUAAUCGGCCUUGGAGAAAGAUUUAUCGCUGGAGGAUUGGCCCGCGUCUGAUUAGCUUGUUGGUGAGGUAAUGGCUCACCAAGGCGACGAUCAGUAGCUGGUCUGAGAGGAUGAUCAGCCACAUUGGGACUGAGACACGGCCCAAACUCCUACGGGAGGCAGCAGUGGGGAAUAUUGGACAAUGGGCGAAAGCCUGAUCCAGCCAUGCCGCGUGAGUGAUGAAGGCCUUAGGGUUGUAAAGCUCUUUUACCCGGGAAGAUAAUGACGGUACCGGGAGAAUAAGCCCCGGCUAACUUCGUGCCAGCAGCCGCCGUAAGACCUGAGACUACCAAGGCACAC
rnacentral:rRNA from 1 species